rnacentral:ncRNA from 1 species
UCCACGUUUCUCCUCCCUGAGCGUGCGUCUUGACACUUGUUGAGACUUUUGCCCCCGGCCUACCUCCCCUUGGCUGGGGGUAUUUUUU